rnacentral:misc_RNA from 1 species
GAUGAAGAACGUAGCAAAAUGCGAUAAGUAGUGUGAAUUGCAGAAUUCAGUGAAUCAUCGAAUCUUUGAACGCACAUUGCGCCCGCCAGCACUCUGGCGGGCAUGCCUGUUCGAGCGUCAUUUCAACCAUCAAGCCCCCAGGGGCUUGUGCUGGGGCCCUGCGGCUGCCCGCAGGCCCUGAAAACCAGUGGCGGGCUCGCUAGUCACACCGAGCGCAGUAGCACAUCUCGCUCAGGGCGUGCGGCGGGCUCCUGCCGUGAAACCCCCCACUGUAACCCCAAAGGUUGACCUCGGAUCAGGUAGGAAUACCCGCUGAACUUAAGCAUAUCAAUAAGCGGAGGA